UUUGUAUGCAUCAAUUUUACUGUUUUUUUUUUCCUUUUUAAUCUUUGGAUCGAAUCAUUGCUUAGUUCUUGCUUAAUUUCUCCAUUUUAUGGUGGGUCUUUGAUUGCAGGUUUAGCUCUGCGCGAGAACUGGGAAAUUUAAUUGUGACCUCCAAUCUAAUCGACUCUGCUUUGACUAAAAUUCUUGAGCUUCAAAGAGACCAAACAGCCUUGCCUUCCCCCGUUCAAUACAGAGUUUUUUAUCCAUCUCCCAAGUGCACAAUUGUAGCUUUUGUCUCUUCACCUGACUGCACUCAAAACCCUCUUCCUGGACAAGGAGAUUUAGUUCCCUCUCCUCUCUUUGACUUCCUCUGCACCGAAGAAUACCCUUCCGUCUCCAUUAACGGAGCCGCAUUAACCCUCUUUACCUCUCUCUACGAUCAUCUCUCUGGACUAAUAGAUGAGGUCAAAAUCUGAUACUUGUUUUAAUUUACGUUAACUUUUCGUUAACAAUUGUGAGACACGAAACAGCUUGACCAUGAGAUCUCCCUCAUGGAGUCAAAACCCGUGUUGGUAUCUGUUUUUAGAUCAACUUAUAUAUAUAUAUAUAUAUAUAUAUAUAUAUCUUGUGGAUAAAAGGAAAGUUUACAAGUGAGAAUAGUGGCAUUUUUCUGACAGAUUUCACACCGUUGCUUGUUUUGCAGUUGACUGUGAUUGAAGGUCGAUUAAUCAUCACUGGGCACUCGAUGGGAGGAUCCGUUGCUUCUCUCUUCACCUUAUGCCUGCUAGAAGUCAUUAAUAUAUCAAAACCCAAAUGCCGCCCCAUUUGCAUCACCUUUGGUUCACCCCUCAUAGGCGACUUUGGCCUCCAACACUCCAAUUGGAAUUCUUUCUUCUUGCAUGUAGUGUCCAACCAAGAUCUAGUCCCCGGACUCUUCCUCCCAUCCGGCAGAUCUCCUCCCACAUCCUCCCAUUCACAAACUACUGGUUACAAGCCCUUUGGGACAUAUCUCUUGUGCUCUGAACUUGGUUGUGCUUGUUUUGACAACCCUGAUUUAAUUUUGGAAUUGCUGAAAGUCAUAUCAUCAGAGGUUGCCGGAGGAUUGCGGGAUGUUGAUUACAGGAAGAUUUUAAUAAACCUCAAGGAGAGGGCAAUCUUCAAGGGACUUCAGCAGGUGGGUGAAAGGUUUGCAGAUCCCUUGUCAGCUGGGAUCGUCAUGGACCUUGAGAUAAUUGGAUUUGAUCAAACAAAGGUAAACAGCUUUCUCCCAAUUAAUGAUGUAGUAUGGUUUACACUCAACUUCACCAAAACCUGCAACAACUGCCCUAUUUAGAUUUGCCUUCCUGUUCUUUGGGUUCUUCUAUAACUUCUCAUUUUUUAAAUUCAUGGCAGCUGUUGCGGCACAACAUUGAUAUCAACACUGUGAUAAGGAUACUGGGAGUGGAAGCCAGAAUCCUAGCCCACAAAAAUAAAGCUUCUGAUGCCAAGAAACUGAAUGACAUAAAAAUACACAUGGCCCAGCUAGAAUGGUAUAAGAAGAAAUCAAAAGAUCUGAACAAGGGUUACUACGACUGCUUCAAAAACCAGGGGUCAAAAAGGGACAUUAAAAUUGAACAGUAUAGGGGACACCUCACAAUAUACUGGAAAGACAUGGUUGCACAAGUACAGAGGAAGCCCCAGAAGGAAGGAGCAUCAUUUCGAACCAGUUGGCUCUAUCCAGGGACAACUUAUAGAAGAAUGGUUGAACCACUGGACAUUGCUGCCUUCUACAGAGAGGGUAGAACAGACUACAUAAACAAUGGAAGAUCUCCUCAUUACAAGCUGUUGCAGCAAUGGUAUGAGGAAGAUGUGAAGCCCCCAUCCAGAGAUAAGCUCGAUUCCAAGAAACUAAAGGUGUCUGGUAUCCUAACUGAGGAUUCUUUGUUUUGGGCACAUGUGGAGGAGGCUCUCUUGUCAUGCGAAUCGCUCAAGAGUGCAAACUCUACUCUUGAGCAGAGAAAAUCAUCAUGGGAUAAUCUGGUUAAGUUUGGGGAGUAUGUAAUGGAACAGAUUGGAAACUAUGCAGUGUCCCCUGAGAUUUUCUUGGGGGAAAGCAGCUUCAUGAAAUGGUGGGGAGUGUAUGAGGACUACAUAGAUGCUUCCAAUAAUUCCUAUGGGUCACCAUUGAUCAGCUUUAUGAAGAACCGUAGUUAUAGACUGUAUGGUUAGAGGGCAAUCCAGUUUGUGUAUUGUGUUUAUUGUAUUGUGAGCAUUCAAUAGAUAAAACUAGAAAGAGCGUGACCUUUUUAUGACAACUUUAGAAACCAGGGGUUAAAAGAGACAUUACAAACUGAAGUUUUUGAGAGGAAACCUCAAGAGUAUACUGGGAAGCCAUGGUGGAACAAGUAGAGAGGAAGCCUCAGAAGGAAGGAGCAAUGGUUGAACCACUUGACAUUGUUGCCUACUACAGGGAGGGUGUAAGAAACAACAUAACCGAGGGAAGAUCUGAACGUUAAACGUUGUCCAAUUAUUAUAAAUGUCUUAUACAUUACGUGUGAAAAUACCAAAAAAAAUUAUAUUCAACAUUUAUGUUUGUAUACAAGCAAUAUUUUGGAUAGUUUGAUAUAAAAAACAAAUGAAGAAAAUGAAGAAAAACAUACAAAUAUAUUUACAAUGGACAAACUUAUACAAUUAGUAUAAAUGUCUUGUAUAUUUAGUACAAAUGUCUCGUACUUUGUAAAAAUAUAAAAAUAUAGUAUUUGACUUUUAUAUAUGUGUGAAAAUGUAAAAAGAAAAAGAAAAAUAGUUAGAGCAUUUGGUACCGUGAGUGAUGACUUCACCUAAAGAAAGGUUAAUGAAUAUUAUGGUCUCGAUGGAAGAGCGACUCCGGUAAAAUAUAUGGAUUAAAUUGAUGCUUUUCUUUUGACGAUGAAGUAGUUGAGUUAUGAAUACGAGGUUUUGCUAACAGCAUUGAAGGCAAGGAUUCCCUAAUAUACUCCAAUUCAUAUUCAAUUUGUAGACCUUCAACUAACUACUCUUGCUAACGAGCAUAUCCAAGUCAAUACAUAAGAUUAAUUAAGAUUAAGUAUUACGUAUGAUAAUUGAAACCCUAUUUAAAUAAAUAAUGACACAUAUAUAAAAAAUAUAUAUAUUUUUAAAAAAAUAAAUAACAAUUUAGAGAAUUUCAUAACUUAGCAUCAAACCUAUUGUAAGAAAGAGUAUUAUACAAUGUAGGGUUUAGGAUCCAAGUCAACCUAAGAUCAAAUUUAAGUUUUAAGAUCAAUUCACAUUCAAAACUAAGGUUUUAAGUUUCAAAAAUAUAUUUCUUAAACCAAUUAAAUGGAAAAAAGAAAAUUACAAAGAAAAUUUCUCCCUCAUCAGUUUCUUUUAUCUUGAAAACUAAAGGAAAUAUAUAUCAAUAUUUGAGAUGGAAAUUCAUAAUCUUAGGUGGUGUUUGUUUUUUUGGCUUUUUGCUGAAAACUAUUUAGUUUUAGAAUUUAGGUUUUUUUUUUUUUUUACUUUUUCAUGACUUAUAAUAAACUUUUUACUAAAUAGAAAAAACCAAAAUAUGUGGUUUUUUCUAAAUAGAAAAAAUAACACAAUGGUUUUUUUUACUUUUUAAUACUUAAUAGAAAUAAAAUACUACAAAAACAAACAUCUUAAUAUUUAAUACUAUUAAGUAUUAAGGUUCUAUUUAGAAUUAAGUAAAAAAACAAACACCACCUUAGAAACACAAAGAACAAAGAGAGUAUGAAGAGACCAUACCAUGAGAGAUUUUCCGAAAGGUUGGUAAACCAUGGUAAUCACCUUUGAGUCUUGCUGAGAAAAACAAACCUUAUUUAUUUUUAUUUUUUUAUCAUUUUUUCUCUUGUGUGGUGUACAUUUAAGAAAAACAAAUCUCAAAAAAAAAAAAAAACACAAACCAAAUAAUGCCAGAAUUUGGGUUGAGAAACACCCAAAAGAUAGUGGCCCAAUACAUGUGCCUAAGAAAAUCUUCAUGAGCCGAUAAACAUAGUCACAAAACUAGUAACAGCCUUGUAGCCAUAGUUGGUGUAGUAUGAGCAAGUGGGGUAUGAAGUAGGUAGGUGAGUAUUGCAAUGAAAUUUCCAGCACUGCUUCCUGAAUUAAGAAAUCACAUACCCAAGUCUUAGUCGUCGUCGUCGUCGUACCGUGUGAGAACCGGGAAGAAUCUUUGCUCGUAGACUGGCUUUUGUAGUCUUUCUUUAACAAUUACAAGUUAUCUGAAUUCCCUUCAUCCUCCUAUAUAAUAUUGUUUUGGUCUUGUUCUUGUUGCAUUGUGGCUAGGCAUCUCCAUGGAAGGAAGGAGGAUGAAUCAAGUUCCUUUGUAUGAAUCAAUUUCUCUGCUCUUUUUUUUUUUCAAUCCUUGAAUCGAAUCAUUGCUUAGUUCUUGCUUUAAUUUCUCCAUUUUCUGUUGGGUCUUUGAUUGCAGGUUUAGCUCUGCAAGAGAACUGGGAAAUUUAAUUGUGACCUCCAAUCUAAUCGACUCUGCUUUGACUAAAAUUCUUGAGCUUCAAAGAGACCAAACAGCCUUGCUUUCCCCCGUUCAAUACAGAGUUUUUUUAUCCAUCUCCCAACUGCACAAUUGUAGCUUUUGUCUCUUCACCUGACUGCACUCAAAACCCUCUUCCUGGACAAGGAGAUUUAGUUCCCUCUCCUCUCUUUGACUUCCUCUGCACCGAAGAAUACAAGUCCGUCUCCAUUAACAGAGCUGCAUUAACCCUCUUUACCUCUCUCCACGAUCAUCUCUCUGGACUAAAAACUCAGGUCAAAAUAUGAUAGUUGUUUUUAUUUUCGUUUCCUUUUUGUUAACAAUUGUGAGACAUGAAACAGCUUGACCAUGAGAUCUCUCUCAUAGAGUCAAACUACCUGAAGAAGAAGAAGACGUUACACAUAUCCAUCUGCGUUGCAUCAUCGCAUUACCCAUUGAUCGGUUGUGAUUCAACUCUUAAUAGGAAGACAGUAGAACUGGUGUUGGUAUCUGUUUUUAGAUCAGCUUAUAUGUAUCUUGUUGCUAAAAAGGGAAUGUUUAGAAGUGAGAUUAAUGGGAUUAUUCUGACAUGGAUUUCAUAUGGUUACCUGUUUUGCAGUUGACUGUGAUUGAAGGUCAAUUAAUCAUCACUGGGCACUCCCUGGGAGGAGCCGUUGCUUCUCUCUUCACCUUAUGCCUGCUAGAUGAAAAUUUAUUAAAACCCAAAUGCCGCCCCUUUUGUAUCACCUUUGGUUCACCCCUCGUCGGCGGCUUUGGCCUCCAACACUCCAUAUGGAAUUCUUUCUUCCUGCAUGUAGUGUCUAACCAAGACCCAGUCCCCGGUCUCUUCCUCCCAUCUGGCAGAGGCAGAUCUACGCCCACAUCCUCCCAUUCACAAACUACCGGUUACAAGCCCUUUGGGACAUAUCUCUUGUGCUCUGAACUUGGUUGUGCUUGUUUUGACAACCCUGAUUUAAUUUUGGAAUUGCUGAAAGUCAUAUCAUCAGAGGUUGCCGGAGGAUUGCAGGAUGUUGAUUAUGGGGAGAUUUUAAGAAACCUCAAGGAGAGGGCAAUCUGCAAGGGACUUCCGCAGGUGGGUGAAAGGUUUGCAAAUCCAUUUUCAGCUGGGAUCAUCAUGGAACUUGAGACAAUUGGAUUUAAUCAAACAAAGGUAAACAGCUUUCUCCCAUCUAAUGAUGUUAUGGAACAUGGUUUACACCUCAUUAAAUACUGCAACAACUGCCCUAUUUAGAUUUACCUUCUUGUUCUUUGGGAUUUUCCAUAACUAGACUCAUUUUUUAAUUUCAUGGCAGCUGCUGCAGCAUAACAUUGAUAUCGAGACUGUGAUAAGCGCAAUGGAAGCGGAAGCAAGAAACCUAACCCAGAAAAAUAAAGCUUCCGAUGCCAAGAAACUGAAUGAAAUAAAAAUAGACAUGACCCGGCUAGAAUUGUAUAAGAAGAAUUCGAACAUGGGUUACUACGAUUGCUUCAAAAACCAGGGGUCUAAAAGGGACAUCCACGUUGAACAGUUUAGGGUAAACCUCACAGGGUACUGGGAAGGCAUGGUUGCACAAAUACAGAGGAAGCCUCAUAAGGAAGGAGCAACAUUUCGAACCCGUUGGCUCUAUGCAGGGACGGUUUAUAGAAGAAUGGUUGAACCACUGGACAUUGCUGCCUUCUACAGAGAGGGUAGAAAAGACUACAUGAAUAAAAGAUCUGCACAUUACAAGCUGUUGCAGGAAUGGUAUGAGGAAGAUGUGAAACCCCCCUCUAGAGAUAAGCUUGAUUCCAAGAAGCAAAAGGUGUCCAGUAUCCUAACUGAGGAUUCUUGCUUUUGGGCACAUGUGGAGGAGGCUAUCUUGUCAUGCGAAUUGCUCAAGAGUGAAAACUGUAAUCUUGAGGAGGGAAAAUCAUCAUGGGAUAAUCUGGUUAAGUUCGAGGAGUAUGUAAUGGAACAGAUUGACAACUAUGCAGUGUCCCCUGAGAUUUUCUUGGAGAAAAGCAGCUUCAUGAAAUGGAGGGGACUGUAUGAGGGCUACAUAGAUACUCGCAGUAAUUCCCAUAGCUCGCCAUUGAUCAGCUUUAUGAAGAAUCGUAGUUAUAGACAAUAUGGAUAGAGGGGUAAUCCAGUUUGUGUGUUGUGUGUAUUGUUUUGUGAGCAUUCAAUGGAUAGAACUAGAAAGAGUGUGACCUUUUCCUUUUUUUUUUCAGUUGCUGCCCAUAUUCUCAGCACUAUUUUCUUCCUUCUUUUCCUCAGUUUUUUUGUUAAGAAAUGAAUAUUAUGAUGUUGCCGGGAUGCACUUUCAUUUUUGUUCCAUUACAUUGUGUUUUAUUCAUAUCCUAAACAAAUAAAUGUAAACAAGAAAAUCAAAUGAGACUUCAAAGAGUCUGUUCCUUUUAAAGCAAGGGAAAAAAAGGACAUGUUUGUUUACUUCCACAGCUGGGUAGAUUCAACUCCACCAAAAUUGGCAACAACUUCCCAUUGAAAAAUUCCUUUUAAGCUUGAAUGACAUAAAACUAGAUAUGUUCCAGCUAGAAUGGUACAAGAAAGAAAUCAAAAGAUGAGCACAAUGGGUUAUUAUGACAGCUUUAGAAACCUGGGGUGUAAAAGAGACAUUAAAAUGGAACCGAGGGGAAGACAUUGUAGAACAAGUAAAGAGGAAGCCUCACCAGGAAGGGCAGCUUUGCAAACCCUCUGGCUCUGUACAGGAACGAAUUAUAGAAAGAUGGUUGAACCACUUGACAUUGCUGCCUACCACAGAGAGGGUGGAAGAAACUACAUAACCAAUGGAGGAUGUAAACAUUACACGCUAUUAGAGCAAUGAUGCAAUGAAGAGAAGGGGACUUUGUCUUCCAAUAAUUUAAGAAAAUAAAACCAAAUAAUGCCAGAAUUUGGGUUGAGAAACACCCAAAAGAUAGUGGCCCAAUAUGAAGUAGUCACAAAACUAGUAACAGCCUUGUGGCCAUAGUUGGUGUAGUAUGAGCAAGUGGGGUAUGAAGUAGGUAGGUGAGUAUUGCAAUGAAAUUUCCAGCACUGCUUCCUGAAUUAAGAAAUCACAUACUCAAGUCUUAAUCGUUGUCAUCAUACCGUGUGAGAACCGAGGAAGAAUCUUUGCUCUUAGACUGGAUUUUGUAGUCUUUCUUUAACAAUUACAAGUUAUCUGAAUUCCCUUCAUCCUCCUAUAUAAUAUUGUUUUUGGUCUUGUUCUUGUUGCAUUGUGGCUAGGCAUCUCCAUGGGAGGAAGGAGGAUGAAUCAAGUUCCUUUGUAUGAAUCAAUUUCUCUGCUCUUUUUUUUUUCAAUCCUUGAAUCGAAUCAUUGCUUAGUUCUUGCUUUAAUUUCUCCAUUUUCUGUUGGGUCUUUGAUUGCAGGUUUAGCUCUGCAAGAAAACUGGGAAAUUUAAUUGUGACCUCCAAUCUAAUCGACUCUGCUUUGACUAAAAUUCUUGAGCUUCAAAGAGACCAAACAGCCUUGCCUUCCCCCGUUCAAUACAGAGUUUUUUAUCCAUCUCCCAACUGCACAAUUGUAGCUUUUGUCUCUUCACCUGACUGCACUCAAAACCCUCUUCCUGGACAAGGAGAUUUAGUUCCCUCUCCUCUCUUUGACUUCCUCUGCACCGAAGAAUACAAGUCCGUCUCCAUUAACAGAGCUGCAUUAACCCUCUUUACCUCUCUCCACGAUCAUCUCUCUGGACUAAAAACUCAGGUCAAAAUAUGAUAGUUGUUUUUAUUUUCGUUUCCUUUUUGUUAACAAUUGGGAGACAUGAAACAGCUUGACCAUGAGAUCUCUCUCAUAGAGUCAAACUACCUGAAGAAGAAGAAGACGUUACACAUAUCCAUCUGCGCUGCAUCAUCGCAUUACCCAUUGAUCGGUUGUGAUUCAACUCUUAAUAGGAAGACAGUAGAACUGGUGUUGGUAUCUGUUUUUAGAUCAGCUUAUAUGUAUCUUGUUGCUAAAAAGGGAAUGUUUAGAAGUGAGAUUAAUGGGAUUAUUCUGACAUGGAUUUCAUAUGGUUACCUGUUUUGCAGUUGACUGUGAUUGAAGGUCGAUUAAUCAUUACUGGGUACUCGAUGGGAGGAUCCGUUGCUUCUCUCUUCACCUUAUGCCUGUUAGAAGUCAUCAAUUUAUCAAAACCCAAAUGCCGCCCCAUUUGUAUCACCUUUGGUUCACCCCUCAUAGGCGACUUUGGCCUCCAACACUCCAAUUGGAAUUCUUUCUUCUUGCAUGUAGUGUCCAACCAAGAUCUAGUCCCCGGACUCUUCCUCCCAUCCGACAGAUCUCCUCCCACAUCCUCCCAUUCACAAACUACUGGUUACAAGCCCUUUGGGACAUAUCUCUUGUGCUCUGAACUUGGUUGUGCUUGUUUUGACAACUCUGAUUUAAUUUUGGAAUUGCUGAAAGUCAUAUCAUCAGAGGUUGCCAGAGGAUUGCGGGAUGUUGAUUACAGGAAGAUUUUAAGAAACCUCAAGGAGAGGGCAAUCUGCAAGGGACUUCCGCAGGUGGGUGAAAGGUUUGCAAAUCCAUUUUCAGCUGGGAUCAUCAUGGAACUUGAGACGAUUGGAUUUAAUGAAACAAAGGUAAACAGCUUUCUCCCAUCUACUGAUGUUAUGGAACAUGGUUUACACAUCAUUAAAUACUGCAACAACUGCCCUAUUUAGAUUUAGGGCAAUGAUGAAAAUAUCAGUAAUCACGGAUAUAUCAGUAUUUCGAUUUUACGGAUAUAUCGGAUAUAUCGGAGAUAUAUCGGUAGAUAUUUUGAAAAAAAAUAUCGGCAAGCUUAAAAUUGUUAAAAACUCAUGAAAAUAUAAGAAAAUCUCAUAAUAAUAUAAUUAAAAGUAUAAUAGACAUUUUAAAGUUAUUUUAUUGAAAAUUUUGAUAUAUGUAUAACAUGAUUUAUCAUAUUUGAUAAUAAUAUCGUAUGCGUCGAUAAAAAUAUGAAUUUUAUAAGUGUACAUUUAUUAUUAAAUUACACCUAAUAUUAUGAUAUCUGAUUAUAAUAUGUCUAAUUUUAAAAUAUAUAUUAGUAUUAAAAUAUGAUCCAUUUAAUUCAAUUGUAUUAAACAAUAUAAAAUAAAUAAUGAUAUAUAUAUAUAUAUAUAUAAUUUUUUAAUAUUUAAUUAAUUAUUAAUGAUAUUAAAAACAUUAUGAAGAAAAUUAUAUAAUUUUUUAAUUUUUGGUAAUUAAUUAAAAGACUUUGCAUUUAAUUAUAAAUUAAUUAUAAUUAAUUUACUCUUUAAAAUAUUCUUAUAUUUUCUUUAUAUAAUGAAUUUAAGUAUAUAUAUAGUUGUUGCAUAUUAUAUAUUAAAGGACAACUUAGCCCAAGUGGUAAGCGAGUGAACCCCAAUGUGAGGCAUUGUAGCACGUGCACUGUAGCAUCACUGUAGCGACUCUGACUUUCGUUGACCCGCAUUGACUACACGAUAUAUCGGAGAAAAAUCACUGAUUUAUCGCCAAAUCACCAAUAAAUCGCCGAUUUCUCGCGAUAAAUACCAAAAUAUAGUGUCGAAACCCUUCGAUACACGAUUUUUCGGCGCAUUUUCUUACUUGGAUUUACCUUUUUGUUCUUUGGGAUCUUCCAUGACUCAUUUUUUAAUGCCAUUUUAUUUUCCUUUUUGUUUCUAAAUUUUUAAAAAAUCGUUUUCACUUCUUUUUUUUAAGAAAAUUUUGGCAAAUUUUGAAAAUAUAAUAUUAGUGUUUUCACUUCUUUCUUUUUUUUUUUUUUCUUUUUUUUUUUAAACUCAAUUUUCUAAAAAAUGAAAAUAGAAAAACAUUGUCUAAACAUGUUUGUAAACUUAAUUUUAUUUUUUUAUAAAUGAAAAAAAAAAUCUAAAUGAGUAAGGCUUUAUUAAUUUUAAUUUUUUUCUUUUCCUUAUAUUUUCUUAUUUUAUUCCAAAUUUUCUUGCAACCAAACAUAAUCUAAAUGUUUACAACUUUUAUUGUAAGGAAUGAAUGACACUACUUUGUGAACUUUUAUGAUAAUAUUUUGAAUCAUAAAUUGUGUUUUUUUUAGUAAUAUCAAUUUUAUUACCAAUGACUUAAUUGUUAAUAACAAAAUAUAAUAUUUAUAAAUAUUUUUAUUCUCAACAGGCUACAAUUUUUACUCUUGUGAUAAAAAAAAUUUUGUCAUAAAUUACACAUUAUGAUGAGUUUUUCUAUUUUCCUUAUCAGCCAAUUCAACAAAUAUCAUAUAUAUUGUAAUGGCUAACAAAUUUUCACAUAAAUUUUUUAUAAGAUAAAGUAGAAUGGAAUUAUUCAAUUUCAAAAAAAAAAAAAAUGGUACCUAAUGAAAAAGAUAAAAUAUAUAGAUCAUCUCGAAGAAAUCAGGAAAGAUAAAUGAUGAGACCAUAUAUAGGACCCUUGAUGGAGACUAUUUUAAUUGAAGUGGUGUGCUCCUUCCGACUCAGAACAUGUUCAGCAUUGCACACAAACUAACAUCGUCGAUCUUGAGUAUGAAAAAGGUGAUUAGAUUCCAAGGUUGUCGUUUGUCCCAACUCCUCAUAUUAGAGGUGAUGCUCAAGCUAACGUGCCUCGCAGUUGAGCCCCGGCCAAUCGGUCUAAUAUGCUUUUCCAAUGGUGAGUUUCACUGCCACCAUGUAUUACAUUAAUUCCGAUAGCGCACAAGUUGUGUUUGUGCUAUUGCUUUUUGCCCUCACAAACAUAUACACAAGAGACAUUCAGACCAGAUCUGUUCUACCAUCCUCUAGGAAAGCAUUGUAGGUCAUUUGAAAUUGGGAUUUCAGCACCAGAGUCAAAUUGCCUUCCUUCCUGAAAGAUGAGCAUUUUUUAUACUCUUACAUCGGCUUUUAUGGAAAUGAAAUCAGCUUCUCAUUCUGUUACAUUUUUCAAUUUUGCUGCCUAUAACUGCUCACUGCCUGUUUGUGAGACAUUAUCCAGAUUUUCCCUGAUCAAUUAUAGAGAGGUCAUUGGACUCAUCCAUGAUUGGAAUUUCCUGUUAUCAUUAUUUGCAAAUCAUCAACCAUUUGUCAUGAUAUCUUAAGUUAAGCUGAGCACGAAUUUCAGCUAAGAUCCUCAGAACUAGAAAUAUGCACUGCAGGUAUUACUUGAUAUGUGAAUAUCCAAUACAAUAUUUUUUUACUAAGAGGAAUACGAAUUUGAAACACUUUCCAAUAAUUUAUCAAGUCAUAUUUUCGUGCUGUCGUGAUACAUGUGUCUACUGUAUGCAUGGCUUUUCUUUUCUACACAUGCCUUUAUCUUUGCACAUGACUCUUUUGAUACACGCCAGCAUCAAGGCAAUUGCCUAAAUCUAAAUCACAUCCUUUGUGUCACGUCUUCCUUGUUACCACGGUCCUCUUGUACACCAUGGUCCCUUAAUGUAACUUGUGCCACAAGCCCUUUGUGCAUGAAUUCAAAUUGUUCAAUCAUUUCGCCAUUUACACCUUUUAAGGUCCAAUAAGCGUAUACAAGAGACUACACUCAUUCUAGAUGAUAAAGUACAUUCAACUAACUACUCUUGCUAAUGAGCAUAUCCAAGUCAAUACAUAAGAUUAAUUAUUACAUAUGGUAAUUGAAACCCUGUUUAAAUAAAUAGUGACACAAAUAUAAAAAAUAUAUAUAUUUAAAAAUAAAUAAAUAACAAUUUAGAGAAUUUCAUAACUUAGUAUCAAACCUAUUGUAGGAAAGAGUAUUAUACAAUGUAGGGUUUAGGAUCAAAGUUAACCUAAGAUCAAUUUUAAGUUUUAAGACCAAUUCAAAUUCAAAACUAAGGUUUUAAGUUUCAAAAAUAUAUCUCUUAAACCAAUUAAAUAGAAAAAAGAAAAUUACAAAGAAAAUUUCUUCCUCAUCGGUUUCUUUUAUCUUGAAAACUAAAGGAAAUAUAUAUCAAUAUUUGAGAUGGAAAUUCAUAAUCUUAGAAACACAAAGAACAAAGAGAGUAUGAAGAGACCAUACCAUGAGAGAUUUUCCAAAAGGUUGGUAAACCAUGGUAAUCACCUUUGAGUUUUGCUGAGAAAAACAAACCUUAAUUUUUAUUUUUAUUUUUUUAUCAUUUUUUCUCUUGUGGUGUACAUUUAAGAAAAACAAAUCUUAAAAAAAAAAAAAAAAAAACCAAAUAAUGCCAGAAUUUGGGUUGAGAAACACCCAAAAGAUAGUGGCCCAAUACAUGUGCCUAAGAAAAUCUUCAUGAGCCGAUAAACAUAGUCACAAAACUAGUAACAGCCUUGUAGCCAUAGUUGGUGUAGUAUGAGCAAGUGGGGUAUGAAGUAGGUAGGUGAGUAUUGCAAUGAAAUUUCCAGCACUGCUUCCUGAAUUAAGAAAUCACAUACCCAAGUCUUAGUCGUCGUCGUCGUACCGUGUGAGAACCGGGAAGAAUCUUUGCUCGUAGAGUGGCUUUUGUAGUCUUUCUUUAACAAUUACAAGUUAUCUGAAUUCCCUUCAUCCUCCUAUAUAAUAUUGUUUUUGGUCUUGUUCUUGUUGCAUUGUGGCUAGGCAUCUCCAUGGAAGGAAGGAGGAUGAAUCAAGUUCCUUUGUAUGAAUCAAUUUCUCUGCUCUUUUUCUUUUCAAUCCGUGAAUCGAAUCAUUGCUUAGUUCUUGCUUUAAUUUCUCCAUUUUCUGUUGGGUCUUUGACUGCAGGUUUAGCUCUGCAAGAGAACUGGGAAAUUUAAUGGUGACCUCCAAUCUAAUCGACUCUGCUUUGACUAAAAUUCUUGAGCUUCAAAGAGACCAAACAGCCUUGCUUUCCUCCGUUCAAUACAGAGUUUUUUAUCCAUCUCCCAAGUGCACAAUUGUAGCUUUUGUCUCUUCACCUGACUGCACUCAAAACCCUCUUCCUGGACAAGGAGAUUUAGUUCCGUCUCCUCUCUUUGACUUCCUCUGCACCGAAGAAUACAAGUCCGUCUCCAUUAACAGAGCUGCAUUAACCCUCUUUACCUCUUUCCACGAUCAUCUCUCUGGACUAAAAACUCAGGUCAAAAUAUGAUAGUUGUUUUUAUUUUCGUUUCCUUUUUGUUAACAAUUGUGAGACAUGAAACAGCUUGACCAUGAGAUCUCUCUCAUAGAGUCAAACUACCUGAAGAAGAAGAAGACGUUACACAUAUCCAUCUGCGUUGCAUCAUCGCAUUACCCAUUGAUCGGUUGUGAUUCAACUCUUAAUAGGAAGACAGUAGAACUGGUGUUGGUAUCUGUUUUUAGAUCAGCUUAUAUGUAUCUUGUUUCUAAAAAAGGUAAGUUUAGAAGUGAGAUUAAUGGGAUUAUUCUGACAUGGAUUCCAUAUGGUUACCUGUUUUGCAGUUGACUCAGAUUGAAGGUCAAUUAAUCAUCACUGGGCACUCCCUGGGAGGAUCCGUUGCUUCUCUCUUCACCUUAUGCCUGCUAGAUGGAAAUUUAUUAAAACCCAACUGCCGCCCCUUUUGUAUCACCUUUGGUUCACCCCUCAUCGGCGGCUUUGGCCUCCAACACUCCAUAUGGAAUUCUUUCUUCCUGCAUGUAGUGUCUAACCAAGACCCAGUCCCCGGUCUCUUCCUCCCAUCUGGCAGAGGCAGAUCUACGCCCACAUCCUCCCAUUCACAAACUACCGGUUACAAGCCCUUUGGGACAUAUCUCUUGUGCUCUGAACUUGGUUGUGCUUGUUUGGAAAAGCCUGAUUUAAUUUUGGGAUUGCUGAAAGUCAGAUCAUCCGAGGUUGCCGGAGGAUUGCAGGAUGUUGAUUAUGGGGAGAUUUUAAGAAACCUCAAGGAGAGGGCAAUCUGCAAGGGACUUCAGCAGGUGGGUGAAAGGUUUGCAGAUCCUUUUACAGCUGGGAUCAUCAUGGACCUUGAGAUAAUUGGAUUUGAUCAAACAAAGGUAAACAGCUAGCUUUCUCCCAUCUAAUGAUGUUAUGAAACAUGGUUUACACUUCACCAAAUACUGCAACAACUGCCCUAUUUAGAUUUGCCGUCUUGUUCUUUGGGAUCUUCCAUAACUAGACUCAUUUUUUAAUUUCAUGGCAGCUGCUGCAGCAUAACAUUGAUAUCGAGACUGUGAUAAGCACAAUGGAAGAGGAAGCCAGAAACCCAACCAAAAAAAAUAAAGCUUUCGAUGCCAAGAUUCUGAAUCACAAAAAAAAAGACAUGGCCGGGCUAGAAUGGUAUAAGAAGAAAUCAAAAGAUCUGAACAAGGGUUACUACGACUGCUUCAAAAACCAGGGGUCAAAAAGGGACAUUAAAAUUGAACAGUAUGGGGGACACCUCACAUUAUACUGGAAAGACAUGGUUGCACAAGUACAGAGGAAGCCCCAGAAGGAAGGAGCAACAUUUCGAACCCGUUGGCUCUAUGCAGGGACGGUUUAUAGAAGAAUGGUUGAACCACUGGACAUUGCUGCCUUCUACGUAGAGGGUGGAACAGACUACAUGAAGAAUGAAAGAUCUCUUCAUUACAAGCUGUUGCAGCAAUGGUAUGAGGAAGAUGUGAAACCCCCCUCUAAGGAUAAGCUUGAUUCCAAGAAGCAAAAGGUGUCUGGUAUCCUAACUGAGGAUUCUUGCUUUUGGGCACAUGUGGAGGAGGCUAUCUUGUCAUGCGAAUUGCUUAAGAGUGAAAACUGUACUCUUGAGCAGGAAAAAUCAUCAUGGGAUAAUCUGGUUAAGUUCGAGGAGUAUGUAAUGGAACAGAUUAACAACUAUGCAGUGUCCCCUGAGAUUUUCUUGGGGGAAAGCAGCUUCAUGAAAUGGUGGGGACUGUAUGAGGGCUACAUAUAUGCUCGCAGUAAUUCCCAUAGGUCACCAUUGAUCAGCUUUAUGAAGAACGGUAGUUAUACAGAGUAUCGUUAGAGGGGUAAUCCAGUUUGUGUGUUGUGUGUAUUGUUUUGUGAGCAUUCAAUGGAUAGAACUAGAAAGAGUGUGACCUUUUUCCUUUUUUUCUUCUAGUUGCUGCCCAUAUUCUCAGCACUAUUUUCUUCCUUCUUUUCCUCAGUUUUUUCUUAAGAAAUGAAUAUUAUGAUGUUGCUGGGAUGCACUUUCAUUUUUGUUCCAUUACAUUGUGUUUUAUUCAUAUCCUAAACAAAUAAAUGUAAACAAGAAAAUCAAAUAAGACUUCAAAGAGUCUGUUCCUUUUAAAGCAAGGGAAAAAAAGGACAUGUUUGUUUACUUCCACAGCUGGGUAGAUUCAACUCCACCAAAAUUGGCAACAACUUCCCAUUGAAAAAUUCCUUCUAAGCUUGAAUGACAUAAAACUAGAUAUGUUCCAGCUAGAAUGGUACAAAAAAGAAAUCAAAAGAUGAGCACAAUGGGUUAUUAUGACAGCUUUAGAAACCAUCUUACAACACAUCCAUCAGAAUUUAGACUAUUCAUAGAAACAUUCUUAACAUGUAAAUCUACUAUUGCCAUGCACGUCAACAUAGAAUUUCUAAAAUGAUUGAAUAAAAUAAAUAAAACAAAAGAAACCCUUCCAAGAGAAUUUCAUAAUCUAAUGUCAAAUCUAUUACGAAGAUGAACAUGUAAAAUUUAAGGUUUAUAAUCAAAGUCGACUUGAAUCUGAGUUUUAAAACCAAUUUGCAGUUUUUAAGUUUGGAGACUAGAUCUCUUAAACCAAUUAAAUGUAAAAAACUAAAAAGAAAACUUCUUCAAAUUUUGAAAUGAGAAUGAGAAUGCAAUUCCUAACUAGUUUCUUCAUCAAAAAUCCCGAAAAAAAAAAAAAAAGAAGAGAGAGAGAGACCAUAGACGCCAGUGUUUGGGUUUAGAACCACCCAAGAGAGAGUAGUCCAAUAUAUGGGCUUAAGAAAAUCCUCAUGGGCCUAAGCUAAGACUAGGAACAAUCUUGUAUCCGUGGUUGGUUUAGUAUGAGCAUGUGUACUGCGAAGGAAGUAGCUGAGAAUUGCAAUGGAAUUUCCAGUACUGCUUCCUGAACGAACAAAUCGCAUACCCAAGAUUUGGUCGUCAACGCCAUGCUGGGUGAGAACCGGGGAAGCAUCUUCGCUCGUUGACGAGCUUUUGUAGUCCUUCUUUAACAAUUAUAAGGCAUCUGAAUUCCCUUCAUCCUCCCACACCAUUGUUUUUGGUCUUGUUCUUGUUGCUUUGUGACUACGCAUCUCCAUGGAAGGAAGGAGGAUGAACCAAGUUCCUUUGUAUGCAUCAAUUUUACUGUUUUUUUUUUCCUUUUUAAUCUUUGGAUCGAAUCAUUGCUUAGUUCUUGCUUAAUUUCUCCAUUUUAUGUUGGGUCUUUGAUUGCAGGUUUAGCUCUGCGCGAGAACUGGGAAAUUUAAUUGUGACCUCCAAUCUAAUCGACUCUGCUUUGACUAAAAUUCUUGAGCUUCAAAGAGACCAAACAGCCUUGCCUUCCCCCGUUCAAUACAGAGUUUUUUAUCCAUCUCCCAAGUGCACAAUUGUAGCUUUUGUCUCUUCACCUGACUGCACUCAAAACCCUCUUCCUGGACAAGGAGAUUUAGUUCCCUCUCCUCUCUUUGACUUCCUCUGCACCGAAGAAUACCCUUCCGUCUCCAUUAACGGAGCCGCAUUAACCCUCUUUACCUCUCUCUACGAUCAUCUCUCUGGACUAAUAGAUGAGGUCAAAAUCUGAUACUUGUUUUAAUUUACGUUAACUUUUCGUUAACAAUUGUGAGACACGUAUAUAUAUAUAUAUAUAUAUAUAUCUUGUGGAUAAAAGGAAAGUUUACAAGUGAGAAUAGUGGCAUUUUUCUGACAGAUUUCACACCGUUGCUUGUUUUGCACUUGACUGUGAUUGAAGGUCGAUUAAUCAUCACUGGGCACUCGAUGGGAGGAUCCGUUGCUUCUCUCUUCACCUUAUGCCUGCUAGAAGUCAUUAAUAUAUCAAAACCCAAAUGCCGCCCCAUUUGCAUCACAUUUGGUUCACCCCUCAUAGGCGACUUUGGCUUCCAACACUCCAAUUGGAAUUCUUUCUUCUUGCAUGUAGUGUCCAACCAAGAUCUAGUCCCCGGACUCUUCCUCCCAUCCGGCAGAUCUCCUCCCACAUCCUCCCAUUCACAAACUACUGGUUACAAGCCCUUUGGGACAUAUCUCUUGUGCUCUGAACUUGGUUGUGCUUGUUUUGACAACCCUGAUUUAAUUUUGGAAUUGCUGAAAGUCAUAUCAUCAGAGGUUGCCGGAGGAUUGCGGGAUGUUGAUUACAGGAAGAUUUUAAUAAACCUCAAGGAGAGGGCAAUCUUCAAGGGACUUCAGCAGGUGGGUGAAAGGUUUGCAGAUCCCUUGUCAGCUGGGAUCAUCAUGGACCUUGAGAUAAUUGGAUUUGAUCAAACAAAGGUAAACAGCUUUCUCCCAAUUAAUGAUGUAGCAUGGUUUACACUCAACUUCACCAAAACCUGCAACAACUGCCCUAUUUAGAUUUGCCUUCCGGUUCUUUGGGUUCUUCUAUAACUUCUCAUUUUUUAAAUCCAUGGCAGCUGUUGCGGCACAACAUUGAUAUCAACACUGUGAUAAGGAUACUGGGAGCGGAAGCCAGAAUCCUAGCCCACAAAAAUAAAGCUUCUGAUGCCAAGAAACUGAAUGACAUAAAAAUACACAUGGCCCAGCUAGAAUGGUAUAAGAAGAAAUCAAAAGAUCUGAACAAGGGUUACUACGACUGCUUCAAAAACCAGGGGUUAAAAAGGGACAUUAAAAUUGAACAGUAUAGGGGACACCUCACAAUAUACUGGAAAGACAUGGUUGCACAAGUACAGAGGAAGCCCCAGAAGGAAGGAGCAUCAUUUCGAACCAGUUGGCUCUAUCCAGGGACAACUUAUAGAAGAAUGGUUGAACCACUGGACAUUGCUGCCUUCUACAGAGAGGGUAGAACAGACUACAUAAACAAUGGAAGAUCUCCUCAUUACAAGCUGUUGCAGCAAUGGUAUGAGGAAGAUGUGAAGCCCCCAUCCAGAGAUAAGCUCGAUUCCAAGAAACUAAAGGUGUCUGGUAUCCUAACUGAGGAUUCUUUGUUUUGGGCACAUGUGGAGGAGGCUCUCUUGUCAUGCGAAUCGCUCAAGAGUGCAAACUCUACUCUUGAGCAGAGAAAAUCAUCAUGGGAUAAUCUGGUUAAGUUUGGGGAGUAUGUAAUGGAACAGAUUGGAAACUAUGCAGUGUCCCCUGAGAUUUUCUUGGGGGAAAGCAGCUUCAUGAAAUGGUGGGGAGUGUAUGAGGACUACAUAGAUGCUUCCAAUAAUUUCUAUGGGUCACCAUUGAUCAACUUUAUGAAGGACCGUAGUUAUAGACUGUAUGGUUAGAGGGCAAUCCAGUUUGUGUAUUGUGUUUAUUGUAUUGUGAGCAUUCAAUAGAUAAAACUAGAAAGAGCGUGACCUUUUUAUGACAACUUUAGAAACCAGGGGUUAAAAGAGACAUUACAAAUUGAAUUUUUUGAGAGGAAACCUCAAGAGUAUACUGGGAAGCCAUGGUGGAACAAGUAGAGAGGAAGCUUCGGAAGGAAGGAUCAAUGGUUGAACCACUUGACAUUGUUGCCUACUUCAGGGAGGGUGUAAGAAACAACAUAACCGAGGGAAGAUCUGAACAUUAAACAUUGUACAAUUAUUGUAAAUGUCUUAUACAUUACGUGUGAAAAUACCAAAAAAAAUUAUAUUCAACAUUUAUGUUUGUAUACAAGCAAUAUUUUGGAUAGUUUGAUAUAAAAAACAAAUGAAGAAAACGAAGAAAAACAUACAAAUAUAUUUACAAUGGACAAACUUAUACAAUUAGUGUAAAUGUCUUGUAUAUUUAGUACAAAAGUCUCGUACUUUGUAAAAAUAUAAAAAUAUAGUAUUUGACUUUUAUAUAUGUGUGAAAAUGUAAAAGGAAAAAGAAAAAUAGUUAGAGCAUUUGGUACCGUGAGUGAUGACUUCACCUAAAGAAAGGUUAAUGAAUAUUAUGGUCUCGAUGGAAGAGCGACUCCGGUAAAAUAUAUGGAUUAAAUUGAUGCUUUUCUUUUGACGAUGAAGUAGUUGAGUUAUGAAUACGAGGUUUUGCUAACAACAUUGAAGGCAAGGAUUCCCUAAUAUACUCCAAUUCAUAUUCAAUUUGUAGACCUUCAACUAACUACUCUUGCUAAUGAGCAUAUCCAAGUGAAUACAUAAGAUUAAUUAUUACAUAUGAUAAUUGAAACCCUGUUUAAAUAAAUAGUGACACAAAUAUAAAAAAUAUAUAUAUUUAAAAAUAAAUAAAUAAUAAUUUAGAGAAUUUCAUAACUUAGCAUCAAACCUAUUGUAGGAAAGAGUAUUAUACAAUGUAGGGUUUAGGAUCAAAGUUAACCUAAGAUCAAAUUUAAGUCUUAAGACCAAUUCACAUUCAAAACUAAGGUUUUAAAUUUCAAAAAUAUAUCUCUUAAACCAAUUAAAUGGAAAAAAGAAAAUUACAAAGAAAAUUUCUUCCUCAUCGGUUUCUUUUAUCUUGAAAACUAAAGGAAAUAUAUAUCAAUAUUUGAGAUGGAAAUUCAUAAUCUUAGAAACACAAAGAACAAAGAGAGUAUGAAGAGACCAUACCAUGAGAGAUUUUCCAAAAGGUUGGUAAACCAUGGUAAUCACCUUUGAGUUUUGCUGAGAAAAACAAACCUUAAUUUUUAUUUUUAUUUUUUUAUCAUUUUUUCUCUUGUGGUGUACAUUUAAGAAAAACAAAUCUUAAAAAAAAAAAAAAAAAAACCAAAUAAUGCCAGAAUUUGGGUUGAGAAACACCCAAAAGAUAGUGGCCCAAUACAUGUGCCUAAGAAAAUCUUCAUGAGCCGAUAAACAUAGUCACAAAACUAGGAACAGCCUUGUAGCCAUAGUUGGUGUAGUAUGAGCAAGUGGGGUAUGAAGUAGGUAGGUGAGUAUUGCAAUGAAAUUUCCAGCACUGCUUCCUGAAUUAAGAAAUCACAUACUCAAGUCUUAAUCGUUGUCAUCAUACCGUGUGAGAACCGAGGAAGAAUCUUUGCUCUUAGACUGGAUUUUGUAGUCUUUCUUUAACAAUUACAAGUUAUCUGAAUUCCCUUCAUCCUCCUAUAUAAUAUUGUUUUUGGUCUUGUUCUUGUUGCAUUGUGGCUAGGCAUCUCCAUGGGAGGAAGGAGGAUGAAUCAAGUUCCUUUGUAUGAAUCAAUUUCUCUGCUCUUUUUUUUUUCAAUCCUUGAAUCGAAUCAUUGCUUAGUUCUUGCUUUAAUUUCUCCAUUUUCUGUUGGGUCUUUGAUUGCAGGUUUAGCUCUGCAAGAAAACUGGGAAAUUUAAUUGUGACCUCCAAUCUAAUCGACUCUGCUUUGACUAAAAUUCUUGAGCUUCAAAGAGACCAAACAGCCUUGCCUUCCCCCGUUCAAUACAGAGUUUUUUAUCCAUCUCCCAAGUGCACAAUUGUAGCUUUUGUCUCUUCACCUGACUGCACUCAAAACCCUCUUCCUGGACAAGGAGAUUUAGUUCCCUCUCCUCUCUUUGACUUCCUCUGCACCGAAGAAUACAAGUCCGUCUCCAUUAACAGAGCUGCAUUAACCCUCUUUACCUCUCUCCACGAUCAUCUCUCUGGACUAAAAACUCAGGUCAAAAUAUGAUAGUUGUUUUUAUUUUCGUUUCCUUUUUGUUAACAAUUGUGAGACAUGAAACAGCUUGACCAUGAGAUCUCUCUCAUAGAGUCAAACUACCUGAAGAAGAAGAAGACGUUACACAUAUCCAUCUGCGCUGCAUCAUCGCAUUACCCAUUGAUCGGUUGUGAUUCAACUCUUAAUAGGAAGACAGUAGAACUGGUGUUGGUAUCUGUUUUUAGAUCAGCUUAUAUGUAUCUUGUUGCUAAAAAGGGAAAGUUUAGAAGUGAGAUUAAUGGGAUUAUUCUGACAUGGAUUUCAUAUGGUUACCUGUUUUGCAGUUGACUGUGAUUGAAGGU
rnacentral:lncRNA from 1 species